rnacentral:ncRNA from 1 species
GUUGUUGCAAUGGUAAUCCUGCUCAGUACGAGAGGAACCGCAGGUUCGGACAUUAGGCACACGUGCUUGUUCGAGCGACCAAUGGUGCGAAGCUACCAUCCGUGGGACUAUGACUGAACACCUCUAAGUCAGCAUCCCUUCCAGAUCUGCAACGAU